GCUGGGUGUGGUGACACACCCCUGUAAUCCCAGUGGCUCGGGAGGCUGAGGCAGGAGGAUUCAAAGCCAGCCUCAGCAACAGCGAGUCACUUAGCAACUCAGUGAUACCCUGUCUCUA
rnacentral:sRNA from 1 species